UACCCUAACCGUGCGAAGGUAGCAUAAUCACUUGUUCUUUAAAUGAGGACUCGUAUCAACGGCAUCACGAGGGUUCCACUGUCUCCUUUAUCUAAUCAGUGAAACUAAUCUCCCCGUGAAGAAGCGAGGAUACUCUUAUAAGACGAGAAGACCCCAUGGAGCUUUAAACCCAAUUAUAUCUCUAACCACUAUAACCAUUUAACCGCUUAGAACUUAUAUACUUGGUUUUAGGUUGGGGCGACCACGGAGCACAACCAAACCUCCACGAUGAACGGAACAACCCCCUUAUCUGAGAAUUACACUUCUAAGAAUUAGCACACUAACAUAAAAUGACCCAUUAUUGAUCAACGAACCAAGUUACCCUGGGGAUAACAGCGCAAUCCAUUUUAAGAGCCCCUAUCGAC
rnacentral:rRNA from 1 species